CCAAACUUGGUCAUUUAGAGGAAGUAAAAGUCGUAACAAGGUUUCCGUAGGUGAACCUGCGGAAGGAUCAUUAUUGAAUACGUGCGGGGCUCACUUGAUGCUGGCUUUUCGGAGCAUGUGCUCGUGGGCUUCAAUCUAUUCUCCUUCAUCUCUUGUGCACCUUCUGUAGUCUUUGAAGUAGAAGCAAUUUGCGGUCUUAGGACUGCAAGGACUUUGUACCCUCCGGUACAAGGUUAUUGGGGAGCUUGAGGAGCGUCUAUACAACGAAGCACUCUUUCCCUGCUUUUGCUUUUUCCCUUCAAAGGCUAUGUUUUAUAUACCCUAUAUUGUAUGUCUAGAAUGUCUUAUUUUAUUGACUUCGGUCAUUAAAAUCCUAUACAACUUUCAGCAACGGAUCUCUUGGCUCUCCCAUCGAUGAAGAACGCAGC
rnacentral:misc_RNA from 1 species